rnacentral:tRNA from 1 species
AUGCGUCUAGCUCAAUUUCGGUAGAGUCCCGGUCUCCAAAACCGGAGGAUGAUGGUUCGAGUCCACCGGCGCAUACUA